CACUGACUCAGUGGACAUGAGUUUGGGUAAACUCUGGGAGUUGGUGAUGGGCAGGGAAGCCUGGCACGCUGCAGUCCAUGGGGUUGCAAAGAGUUGGCACGCUACUGAACGAACUGAAUGAACUGAUGGUACGGUGGAAAAAGCGUGGACUCAUACACUCUUGGGUCUGAAUCCUGAAAGCUUCUUAGCCAGUUUACUUAACAUUUCUGUUAUAUGUACCUCUUGGAGAUAAUGGAACCUUGUAUGUCAAGUGCCUUAAACACAAAAAGUACUGAAUGAAAUUUUUCCCAGGAGAGCCUUGAGCAUGAGGCGGUCAGAGGAGACACAGUCACCUACCCGCCUUAUCCGUAGUGGGGCAGCCUAAGCCACACUGUGGUAGUCACAUUCACACCCUUAGGAAGGAAAUCUAAUUGGUUGGGACCUUCUGUAUGUUUCUUAAGUAGCUAUAUGAAAGAGAAAUUGAACAUUGUCAAGAAUGAUUCAAAAAUAUUCAACAGCUAGAUGGCAAUGUGGUCUUUGUGUCUUAAGUGAAGAAAUCGAUCAAAUUUCCUCUGUCAGUGAAUGGCCUGGUUUUACAUUACUGCAUGAGAUAAUAACGGGACUGUUUAUUCCAUUAUCUUCUUAUAUUCUGAAUUUAAAUAUUCCCUAGCAUUAAUUCCCUAAUAAAGUUGAGCAGUUUCAGUCUAUAGAAAUAAAUGUUGUAGACCAUUGUACCUUAUGCAAGGUAUUUAAUUAUUUAAUAGUUAAUACCUAAUCAUUUAAGUGCCUUUGUCCUUUUUCUCAUGAUUAUCUUAUCUGGUCUGGAAAUUAAAACACACACAUACAUAGAUCUUAUUAAAACAUUACACUAACCUCAAAGGGAGGUAUAUUUUUAAAAAGUUUUAUUGAAGUAUAGUUUACAUAUAGUAAACUCCUCUUAUUUAAAAUAUACCACUGACACAUGUGCAUACCCACGAAUCAUCACCACAAUGAACAUACCCAUUACCCCAGAAAGUUUCCUCAGGCCCAUCUGUAAUCCUUCCCUCCCAUCCCUUCCCAGGCCCCAGCCUCAACUUUCUAUGUCUGUAGGUUAGUCUGCAUUUUCUAGAGUUUUAUGUCAAAGAUCAUCAUACAGUGUUUACUUUUUAAAAUCGGGUUUCUUCCACUCAUCACAAUUAUUUUGAGAAUCAUCUGUGUUGUUGCAUGUAUCAGUGGCUAAUUCCUUUUUUGUGUUGAGUAAUAACCUCCUAGAGGUGCUCUAGAAAAAACAAAUUUGAGAUGUUAGAUGAAGAAAUUACCAUGAAGCACUGGGACUUCUGUUUUUCAGACAUUUAAAUGAAACUUUCUGAUCAAAAUGGUCUGAUACUAAUCUAUAUAGUUUUUGAUUAAAUUUAAUUGGAGGAUAAUUCCUUUACAUAUUCCAUCAACAUGAGUCAACCAUGGGUGCACAUGAGCAACUAUAUGCCAAUAAAAUGAUAUUAGUCUAUAUUAAUAUUGUACCUCAU
rnacentral:lncRNA from 1 species